rnacentral:rRNA from 1 species
AGCGAACGCUGGCGGCAGGCCUAACACAUGCAAGUCGAGCGCCCCGCAAGGGGAGCGGCAGACGGGAGAGUAACACGUGGGAACGUACCCUUUGGUUCGGAACAACCCAGGGAAACUUGGGCUAAUACCGGAUAAGCCCUUACGGGGAAAGAUUCAUCGCCGAAGGAUCGGCCCGCGUCUGAUUAGCUAGUUGGUGGGGUAACGGCCCACCAAGGCGACGAUCAGUAGCUGGUCUGAGAGGAUGAUCAGCCUCACUGGGACUGAGACACGGCCCAGACUCCUACGGGAGGCAGCAGUGGGGAAUAUUGGACAAUGGGCGCAAGCCUGAUCCAGCCAUGCCGCGUGGGUGAUGAAGGCCCUAGGGUUGUAAAGCCCUUUCGGCGGGGAAGAUAAUGACGGUACCCGCAGAAGAAGCCCCGGCUAACUUCGUGCCAGCCGCCGCAGUAAGAC